rnacentral:snRNA from 1 species
GUCCCUUAGGGGACAUCCGAUAAAAUUGGAACGAUACAGAGAAGAUUAACAUGACCCCUACACAAGAAUGACACGCACAAAUCGAGAAAUGGUCCAAAAAAUAUUUUU